GGCUGUAUGUAGUUCAGUGGUAAAGUGCUUGCCUUCAAUGUAUGAGGCCUAAGUUCAAUACCCAGGAUUUCCA
rnacentral:tRNA from 1 species